UACGUAGGUGGCAAGCGUUGUCCGGAUUUACUGGGCGUAAAGGAUGCGUAGGCGGACAUUUAAGUCAGAUGUGAAAUACCCGAGCUUAACUUGGGUGCUGCAUUUGAAACUGGGUGUCUAGAGUGCAGGAGAGGUAAGUGGAAUUCCUAGUGUAGCGGUGAAAUGCGUAGAGAUUAGGAAGAACACCAGUGGCGAAGGCGACUUACUGGACUGUAACUGACGCUGAGGCAUGAAAGCGUGGGGAGCAAAACAGG
rnacentral:rRNA from 1 species